CACAGGGUAGACCUAGGCACUAUGAAGAAAUCUUACAGUAGGAACAUUUUCUAACACAGGGGAGGCUUUUGUUCAACCUGCCUUUUUCUUUUGCCUCAGACAGGUCACAAAACACAUGCUGGAAUUCUCCUAAGUGCUCAUUAGGGAUACUCUCACAGACAUCUCUGUCAAAGCCCAUAUAAUCUAUGGUCUAACUCUGCAAAGUUCCAUUUUCUCUCUACUCUACCUCAGGGAAUCCAGCAUCCUCAUCGAAGACCAGGCCCAGAAGCUGUCCCAGUUAGAGCAGAAAUUACAAGAGGGGAGAGAUGUGUCAUUUCUCCUCAGUCAACGUCUCAAGGACCUCCUCACCCAGGAUGACAGUGGUGAUAGCCAGGCCCUGGGCCUCCAAGAGCAAUUGGCUGAGGGGUGCUGGCUGGCUGAGUGCCUUGUCCUCAAGCUCAGCCCAGGAAAUAAUGAAGAUGAUGGAAAUGAUAAUGAUUGCAAAUGGCUGUUCCCCAGGUAAUAAUAAAUAUUCAGAGUUUGGUGUAUGAUGGAUAAAAUACAAGAAGAGUCUGCAAAUGAACAGUUCCAAGUCAAGAGCAGUCUCAGAUUUCACAAAGUGUCCAUUGUCUUGGUGGUAUUCAUCUGUAUAAUAGGUGGAACUAAUAAGCCUGUGAAGUCUUGAACUCACAGGAUCUAUCUCUUCUCUCUUGUAUGGAUAAAUUGAGGAUGAGAUGCAUAUCUGGUUUCUGUAUAGUUGGUCUUACCUUCUUGGCAGAGAUUUAAUAGCAAAGAACCUAAGUAGACCAAAAAGAAAAUUGUAUCAUAUCUCUAUACAUAAACAGUCCUAAAAUGCCCAAGCCUCUUGAAUUCUGCAGAAGAAUUGACUGUUCUGCUUGACGUAAAAGUCAGCAUGACUUGUAGGAAAGGUUAAGCCACUCUUACAGCUUUCUAUAUGUGCUGACAUCAUAAAGCAUACAGGAGCAGCAGAAGGGGGGUGAAUUGAAAAUCAUUCAUUAGCUCAUUGUCCUGUCAGCACACUGAGGUCCUUCUCCUGUCUCCUACCUUCAAAGCAGCUGCACCCCAGGGGAUUGUUUUCUUUCUCUUUGAAGGGAGUGUCCCUA
rnacentral:lncRNA from 1 species